GACGAACGCUGGCGGCGUGCCUAAUACAUGCAAGUCGAACGCAUUUUCUUUCACCGUAGCUUGCUACACCGAAAGAAAAUGAGUGGCGAACGGGUGAGUAACACGUGGGUAACCUGCCCAUCAGCGGGGGAUAACACUUGGAAACAGGUGCUAAUACCGCAUAAUUCCAUUUACCGCAUGGUAGAUGGAUGAAAGGCGCUUUUGCGUCACUGAUGGAUGGACCCGCGGUGCAUUAGCUAGUUGGUGGGGUAACGGCCUACCAAGGCUGCGAUGCAUAGCCGACCUGAGAGGGUGAUCGGCCACACUGGGACUGAGACACGGCCCAGACUCCUACGGGAGGCAGCAGUAGGGAAUCUUCGGCAAUGGACGCAAGUCUGACCGAGCAACGCCGCGUGAGUGAAGAAGGUUUUCGGAUCGUAAAACUCUGUUGUUAGAGAAGAACAAGGAUGAGAGUGGAAAGUUCAUCCCUUGACGGUAUCUAACCAGAAAGCCACGGCUAACUACGUG
rnacentral:rRNA from 2 species